UAGCGUAUAUUUAAGUUGUUGCAGUUAAAAAGCUCGUAGUUGGAUUUCGGGUGGGUUCUAGCGGUCCGCCUAUGGUGAGUACUGCUAUGGCCUUCCUUUCUGUCGGGGACGGGCUUCUGGGCUUCACUGUCCGGGACUCGGAGUCGACGUGGUUACUUUGAGUAAAUUAGAGUGUUCAAAGCAGGCUUACGCCAGAAUACUUUAGCAUGGAAUAACACGAUAGGACUCUGGCCUAUCUUGUUGGUCUGUAGGACCGGAGUAAUGAUUAAGAGGGACAGUCGGGGGCAUUCGUAUUUCAUUGUCAGAGGUGAAAUUCUUGGAUUUAUGAAAAAACGAAACUACUGCGAAAGCUAUUUGCCGAAGGAUGUUUUCAUUAAUCGAAGAACGAAAGUUGGGGGCUCGAAGACGAUUAGAUACCGUCG
rnacentral:rRNA from 1 species